rnacentral:lncRNA from 1 species
AUGGCUACCAAAGUAGGAGGCGUCUCCGAUUCCCCCGGUUCUCAAAACUCGGCCGAAAUCGAAUCCCUUGCUCGAUUUGCCGUCGAUCAACACAACACCAAACAGAAUUCUCUUCUGGAGUUUACAAGGAUGGUCAAAACACGGGAACAGGUUGUUGCUGGUACACUGCAUCACCUUACGAUUGAGGCUGUUGAUGCGGGUGAGAAGAAGAUCUAUGAAGCUCAAGUAUGGGUCAAACCAUGGCUGAAUUUUAAAGAACUUCAAGAGUUCAAGCAUGCCGGUGGUGAUUAG